rnacentral:rRNA from 1 species
UACAGAGGGGGCAAGCGUUGUUCGGAAUUACUGGGCGUAAAGGGCGCGUAGGCGGCCUUCUAAGUCGAACGUGAAAUCCCCGGGCUCAACCCGGGAACUGCGUCCGAUACUGGAAGGCUUGAAUCCGGGAGAGGGAUGUGGAAUUCCAGGUGUAGCGGUGAAAUGCGUAGAUAAUCUGGAGGAAUACCGGUGGCGAAGGCGGCGAAGUCCUCGG